rnacentral:rRNA from 1 species
UACGGAGGAUCCAAGCGUUAUCCGGAUUCAUUGGGUUUAAAGGGUGCGUAGGCGGCAUGCUAAGUCAGUGGUGAAAUCCUUCAGCUUAACUGGAGAAUUGCCAUUGAUACUGUCAAUCUUGAGUACAUUUGAUGUGGGCGGAAUAUGUCAUGUAGCGGUGAAAUGCAUAGAUAUGACAUAGAACACCAAUUGCGAAGGCAGCUCACUAAGCAGACAUUGACGCUGAGGCACGAAAGCGUGGGGAUCAAACAGG